rnacentral:lncRNA from 1 species
UCGAUCAUUAGUAGAUCAAUAGAGGGAGGCAUUAAACUAUGGCUCUUUCUCCUAAAAAUAUGGUCGACGGUCGUCAAAAAAAGCCUGAAUCAGUAGUCGACUACCAUCUCUCCGAGACUCCAGCAUAUAUUCUCCAACGAUCAAGAGAGAGGACCACUGGUUUACCUAAAUCCAACGGGUCCUACCACUCAACUUGUCUAUUUUUUAUUUUUUUAUUAUUAUUUAGGAUGGGAUGGUUGCUGGUAGGGAAGCUCACCAUCGGCAUGCCCUAGGUGACUGUCGGAUGCAGGCUGGAUGUCUUCAUCCAUGAAUUCUCCCCCCUCAUCGAAGAUGUCCUCAACCUCCAUGGCCACUUCAUUCUCCUCGAUCCGAAC